AUUGAACGCUGGCGGCAUGCCUUACACAUGCAAGUCGAACGGUAACAGGUCUUUCGGGAUGCUGACGAGUGGCGAACGGGUGAGUAAUACAUCGGAACGUGCCUAGUAGUGGGGGAUAACUACUCGAAAGAGUGGCUAAUACCGCAUGAGAUCUAUGGAUGAAAGCAGGGGACCUUUGGGCCUUGUGCUACUAGAGCGGCCGAUGGCAGAUUAGGUAGUUGGUGGGAUAAAAGCUUACCAAGCCUACGAUCUGUAGCUGGUCUGAGAGGACGAUCAGCCACACUGGGACUGAGACACGGCCCAGACUCCUACGGGAGGCAGCAGUGGGGAAUUUUGGACAAUGGGCGCAAGCCAGAUCCAGCAAUGCCGCGUGCAGGAUGAAGGCCUUCGGGUUGUAAACUGCUUUUGUACGGAACGAAAAGUCUUGGGUUAAUACCCUGGGAUCAUGACGGUACCGGAAGAAUAAGCACCGGCUAACUACGUG
rnacentral:rRNA from 1 species